GAUGAACGCUAGCUACAGGCUUAACACAUGCAAGUCGAGGGGAAACGGCAUCGAAAGCUUGCUUUUGAUGGGCGUCGACCGGCGCACGGGGGAGUAACGCGUAUCCAACCUGCCCAUCACUUGGGAAUAACCUUGCGAAAGUAAGACUAAUGCCCAAUGACAUCCCACGAAGGCAUCCGAAUGGGAUUAAAGAUUUAUCGGUGAUGGAUGGGGAUGCGUCUGAUUAGCUUGUUGGCGGGGUGACGGCCCACCAAGGCAACGAUCAGUAGGGGUUCUGAGAGGAAGGUCCCCCACAUUGGAACUGAGACACGGUCCAAACUCCUACGGGAGGCAGCAGUGAGGAAUAUUGGUCAAUGGGCGAGAGCCUGAACCAGCCAAGUAGCGUGCAGGAUGACGGCCCUAUGGGUUGUAAACUGCUUUUAUAAGGGAAUAAAGUGGGUCACGUGUGACUUUUUGCAUGUACCUUAUGAAUAAGAACCGGCUAAUUCCGUG
rnacentral:rRNA from 1 species